rfam:Burkholderia glumae PG1 chromosome 1, complete sequence.
UCCCCGCUUCUCCUCCCUGAGCGGGUGCCUGUCGUUAUUCGAUUAGGCUGUUUGACCCGCCGCGAAACGGCGGGUUUUUUUAU